UACGUAGGGGGCCAGCGUUGUCCGGAUUUAUUGGGCGUAAAGAGCGUGUAGGCGGCCAGGUAGGUCCGUUGUGAAAACUCGAGGCUCAACCUCGAGACGUCGGCGGAAACCCUCUGGCUAGAGUCCGGAAGAGGUGAGUGGAAUUCCCGGUGUAGCAGUGAAAUGCGUAGAUAUCGAGAGGAACACCUGUGGCGAAAGCGGCUCACUGGACCAUUACUGACGCUGAUGCUCGAAAGCUAGGGGAGCAAACAGG
rnacentral:rRNA from 1 species